GGUGCAGAAGCGAAGUGGUCGAGCGGCAAGUCUUUCAAGCUUGUAAUUAGCGGGUUCGAGUCCCGUCUGCACUACCA
rnacentral:tRNA from 2 species